rnacentral:lncRNA from 1 species
GAAAAUCUCGUCUGACCGACAUUUGAUCUGGUUUAAACAAACAUCUGACAAAAAAAACAAUCCGAUUUGUCAAAACUAGCCAGAAUUUGCGUUUGCAACCUCGCGCACCGUGCACACUAUCUUCUAUACUAUUCAAACAAACAAAUCACAAUAUGUUCUCUGUUGGACGCAGACAAGACUGUCUUGUGGUGAACACAAAACUAUGUGUUAUGCAUAUAAGAAUCAUAAGGUCACUACAAAAAUCACUUAAAAACCAAACUAAGCAAAAGCAGAAAGAAAUAGACCCGAAUACUAUCUUCUUUUCUUGUGUGUGUUGGCGUUAGAUGAAUAGAAAAAGAUUCUUCUUGAGUUGAGAAUGCGACUCACCAAAACUUUCUUUAGUUUUGGAUUCUCAUAUUCUCAUUCUGAAAUCUCAUGAACCAACUUUUCGUCUCCAUUUUCUCUCAAAACGAAUAUAAUUCCGCGGUCAUUUCCCGCUUCCUCUUGAUUCUUAAUGUAUCCAAUACUCUCUCGUUCCAUUAAGCAGUCACAAUCCUAACGAUGCCGCCCACGUGUUCAAUUAUUAUACCUAUGGAGGAAGAUCAAAUUAAAAAAAAAAGUUAGUAAACAAGAACAAGAAUCUGUAAGGGGAAAUGAACGUACAAGGAAGAACAUUUAUUCUGUAUCACUCUUCCUUCUCUUUUACUUAAAGAGUGACAUUUCCAUUAGCACAGUAAAAGGAAAGUUACAUGGAAAAAAACUAAGCACGAUUAAAAUAAGGCUCUAACAUGUAAAAUUACUAGUUAGGCACUACUUCCGCAAUAACACGCAUCAUUUUAUAUUAACUGAUAUCAGCAGCCAGAAGCCCAGAAGCCCUGGAGAAACAUGUGUUGCAGUAAAACCUUUUCUUCUCUAAUUUUGUUACCGAGUUAGGAACAGAACAUGCUGCAAGAAAGCAUACUCAAACAGACCAUGCUGCAAGAAAGCAUACUCAAAUCUUGAUGGUAUCAGCAGCUACAUUUGAUAUAAAUCAGUGAUUUUCUAGCAAUAUGUGGUUAAAAGUGAAUUCAAACACAUAAUUUGCUUGGUUAGGUUUACUUUUUGAUGGUAUUCAAAUAUACUUUUAAAUCUUGCAGCACAUAAUGAUAGAAGCCUCUCUUUGUGGAAGCAUAUUCCCACUCACAUGCCAAUCAACUAUUUCGGCAAAAUGCUUAAAUACUUUUAACUGAAGGUUAUGAAAAAGUUUCUUUACCAAACAGAAUAAAGUGUUAAUGAGAAAUCAGAACCAUGAAAGGUUGAAAAAAUAUAUGCAAAGAUAUCAUUCAAGGAACAUAAGAUUUGGUGUUUGACAAUUUCCUUUGAAACAACAGACCAUAUUUUUAGCCAAGUGUCUUUUUUUUCCUCUAUAAGGCAUCUAUCAAACUCAAUAAGAUAUGUGAGACUCUAUACUUUGAUAGUGGAUAUAUAUUCACAAUUUCACAUACAGAAGCUAUCAUUUCGGCAUUUGGCAAUCACGACUUCUUUGUACAUAUCUUUAUCUACGAACUUAUUCUAUAUAUAUACCAAUAUCUAUACUUAAUACAAACUACAAUAUGUUUGAUGAUGGACGUUAGAGUCAUAGCCAUGGAGAAAGUAGAUUCAGGGAAGUAUAAUGUAAGAAAGCAGCCAGACUUUAGAUGCAUAGUUAUCACGAGCUUGUACAUAUAUCUAUUAUGUACGUAUGCGCAUAUAAAUACACAAACAAUACAUACAAAUAUGGACGUAAGACAUGUUAUGUUGCCUUAAGAAUAGACAGGAAAGACGACAGACAUACAUACAUGCAUGCAUGCAUACAUAGCACAAGCAUGGAUGUGCCAAAUAUGUUGUGCCAAUCAAAGAAUGUAAGAUAUAGGCCCACCACUAAUUUUUAUGCUGUUUAGAGAGAAUAGGUACUAAACUUGUUGAAGGAGACAGCAUGAAGUAUUCUUCAUUCGCUUUCUCACGUCUUAAUUAAUUAUCUUUCAUGGCAAAACAAUGUUUUUUUUUUUUUUUUUUUGAAAAAAUGGCAAAACAAUGUUGAAACCUAAGUUUCAUCCCACUUGCGGGUUGCGGCUAUCAUAAAAACCAUUCAGAUAUUAUCAGUACACACUCAUGAAACAUGAGCCAUUUUGGUUGAUAUAGGUAAAAUCUAUCUUAAAGUUUCAAUAGAAUAUGCUAAGGCUGAAGAUGUAUCUAGAGACUGAAUAAUGACUAUCAAGUAGGAGCAAAAACAAUACAGACAAGUGGAAAGCAUCCCUUAUAUAUUAUUUGAGAAACAUUACAACUUUUUUUUGUAGCCACAUGUCAUCACUAGGAUGAUUCUUAGAAUCACUAGAAAAAUAUGUUGGUCCAUCUAAUUAUAUAAUAAGUUUUUUUAUUAAACUAACAAUAAAUUCAUUAUUAAUGUACUUCAUUAUUUCCUUAAAUAAAAUUUACGAAAUUGCCUAAUGUGGCUAAAAUAUAUAUGACAAUUAAUGAUUUUGAAUAAUAAAGAUUUGAUAAAAAUUAGUGUAUCUUCUAUCAUAUUUGUUUAAUUUUAAACUAUUAAAUAAAUUAAAUAACUACAAUAACUAUAUAAUAAAAAAUUUAAAUUUUUCUGUAUAUGUUAUAUUUUGAAUUUUGAAAAACGACUAUAAAUUACUAAAACUGUUAAAAGUCUUACAUUCAAAUGAUUACAAAAUUAUAUAAGUAAAAAGUAUAAUUUAAUUAAUUAUUAAGAUUGAUAUAUAUAUAUAUAUAUAUCGUUUUAAAUUAAACUAUAAACCAUAUAAAAUACAUAAAUCUUUUAGUUUCAAAAUUUACUUUGAACAAUUUUUUGGUAAAAGUUUUGAACGAACAUUGACAACUUAUUUUUUUUAUUAGAAAUUAUUAAAACUAUUAAUCUCACAAUGAAAAUUUUGUUAUCAGUAAUUUAAUUUUUUUUCUAUAAAAGAUACAAAUGAUUAAAAAAAUACUAUAUGAGUAUAAAUCAUCAUUUAAUAGACAUUCGUAUUAAAAAUAUACUAAAAUAUACUAUGUAUGUUAGCAUCAUUUAAAUUUAAUUACAUAUCCUAUCAAAUAUUAAAAAAAAUUGGAUUAAUAAAAUUGAUUUAUAUGUUUACACCAAUUUAAUUAUAUAUUUAAUAGUUACUAACUUUUAAUUAUUCAAUAUAUAUUUAUUAUUUUUUAAUAUGUAAAAAUAUUUAAUACAUAAAAUAAUUUUUAUAUAUAAUGUUCAUCCCGUGCAAGGCGCGGGUCUUAACCUAGUUGAGAUUAUUCCUCAAGAGAGAGAAAGGUUAGAGCUGUGGACUUUGAAAAAAAUUGAGGAAUAAGGAAAGAGAAUGAAUUCCCCUGCGCCCAAGUAGAAAAGUUUUCAAUUUUUUUUGGAGAAUAAGAUACUUUCGUAUGCCAGAAUGGUGAAAAGAAUGUGCAUACGAUGCAUUAGUUGUGAAUCAAUUCUGGUAUCUAAUGCAAGGCUUGAAUUGCAUUGAAAAGCAGUAAUCCAAAGGAAUCAAUACAAGAAAUUAAAAAUAUAAUCUAAGUAAACAACCUACAACUGAAACGAUAAGAACACAAACAACAAAGCUAUGAUUAGACCAGUUAUUCAUAUUCCAUACCUUAGUUAUCGUCCUCUAUAUAAAGAAAUGUUGCAAAGACCUUUUACUCUUCAG